GAUGAACGCUGGCGGCGUGCCUAAUACAUGCAAGUAGAACGCUGAAGGAAGGAGCUUGCUCUUUCCGGAUGAGUUGCGAACGGGUGAGUAACGCGUAGGUAACCUGCCUGGUAGCGGGGGAUAACUAUUGGAAACGAUAGCUAAUACCGCAUAACAGUAGAUGUUGCAUGACAACUAUUUGAAAGGGGCAAUUGCUCCACUACCAGAUGGACCUGCGUUGUAUUAGCUAGUUGGUGAGGUAACGGCUCACCAAGGCGACGAUACAUAGCCGACCUGAGAGGGUGUUCGGCCACACUGGGACUGAGACACGGCCCAGACUCCUACGGGAGGCAGCAGUAGGGAAUCUUCGGCAAUGGACGGAAGUCUGACCGAGCAACGCCGCGUGAGUGAAGAAGGUUUUCGGAUCGUAAAGCUCUGUUGUAAGAGAAGAACGAGUGUGAGAGUGGAAAGUUCACACUGUGACGGUAUCUUACCAGAAAGGGACGGCUAACUACGUG
rnacentral:rRNA from 1 species